rnacentral:rRNA from 1 species
CCUACGGGAUGCAGCAGUGGGGAAUAUUGCACAAUGGGGGAAACCCUGAUGCAGCGACGCCGCGUGAGUGAAGAAGUAAUUCGUUACGUAAAGCUCUAUCAGCAGGGAAGAAACACUGACCUUACGGUCAGCAGACGGUACCUGAGUAAGAAGCCCGGCUAACUACGUGCCAGCAGCCGCGGUCAUACGUAGGGGGCAAGCGUUAUCCGGAUUUACUGGGUGUAAAGGGAGCGUAGACGGUGCGCCAAGUCUGGAGUGAAAUGCCGCAGCUUAACUGCGGAACUGCUUUGGAAACUGGCGAACUAGAGUGCGGGAGGGGUAAGCGGAAUUCCGAGUGUAGCGGUGAAAUGCGUAGAUAUUAGGAGGAACACCGGUGGCGAAGGCGGCUUACUGGACCGUAACUGACGUUGAGGCUCGAAAGCCGGGGUAGCAAAUGGGAUUAGAUACCCGGGUAGUC